rnacentral:rRNA from 1 species
AACGAACGCUGGCGGCAUGCCUAACACAUGCAAGUCGAACGAGACCUUCGGGUCUAGUGGCGCACGGGUGCGUAACGCGUGGGAACCUGCCCUUAGGUUCGGGAUAACUCCCCGAAAGGGGUUCUAAUACCGGAUAAUUUCUUCGGACCAAAGAUUUAUCGCCUUUGGAUGGGCCCGCGUUGGAUUUGCUAGUUGGUAGGGUAAAAGCCUACCAAGGCGACGAUCCAUAGCUGGUCUGAGAGGAUGAUCAGCCACACUGGGACUGAGACACGGCCCAGACUCCUACGGGAGGCAGCAGUGGGGAAUAUUGGACAAUGGGCGAAAGCCUGAUCCAGCAAUGCCGCGUGAGUGAUGAAGGCCUUAGGGUUGUAAAGCUCUUUUACCCGGGAUGAUAAUGACAGUACCGGGAGAAUAAGCUCCGGCUAACUCCGUG